GAUUCAAUUGACAAAGCAGCCCUUUUAGUGAGAAAUAAAACACUACAGCAAUAAAAACAACAUAAAAUAUUUUUGAUGAGUUAAGUUAAGAGGAUUUUUUUGCAAUCUUUUAAUUUAUGUACAAUAGAAAACCUCACAUUUCUGGAUAGAAAUAUCUUUGGUCACUGUAAAUUAAGCAAAGAUUUCAGGUAUGUACAUGUUCUUCCUCUUUGUACUGUUUCAAACAAACAUACAUUUCUUCAUGUUGAGAAAAAUGACAUAUCAUAUAAAUGUCGUUUUUUUCAUAUUCGCUCACACUGACCAUCAGAAAACUGCCACCAGUGAGCUGUAAAACACACCAUCUUUUUUCAGCUAGGGAAAAAAAUCAACACAUUUUCUACACACAUAUUAUACAAUUGACUCUCGUACAAGGCUAAACAUGAUCAUAAAUGAAAGCACUGUCGUCCUUCACUUCACUCUGGAAUGUAACAAAAAACUAAAGGACAGAAAACAAAAACAAACAAGACAUUCUAAUGCAGACAAUUGCAUGGGUACAAACAACAAAAACUGAAUAAUCUAAUGUAUUUUCCGCCAAAAAAUAUAGUAGUCAUCUCAAUUACCUAGUAGUCAUCUCAAUUAACAGAUAGACCAACAUCCCCACUCUUAGCCAUUUUGUGGUCUCAAUCCACCUCAUCAACACAUUACUUUUGUUCGUUAUCAUGAGAAAAUACAAAUGUUCCCAUAAUUGAUGUAGGCCCUGUUUGCAACCAUACAGAAAACCUUUUUUCCCAGCAUGCUCAACUGGAGGUUGGUUUUUUGGAAUUGUUUUUAAUAUCUGUCUUUGCAUGUACAUUGAAUGAUUGAUUUAUAUUUUGCUACACAAAGAUAAAUAACACAUUUUUCUAAACUAAUCCAAAUCAUUUAGUUAGAUUUAUUGCACCCAUUACUAAAAUAGUUGUUCUAGUUUAAAUGGCUUAGAUAGUCUUCUAACACUGUUCUUAACCCUGGCAGUCAUUAUGAAUGGGUGAAUAAUGUAAUUGUUGGAUAUCAAAUAGGAAUUACACCUCUCUUUGCAAGCCAGCAUGAGGUUACUUGCAGGAUUGAUUUGGCCUUUAAACCAUGAGUUUCAGGCGCUUGCAUUAGGGUAAAGCUAGGCCUCAAAAUAAGGCCUUAUGAGAUAUGUAAUGUAUUGUCAUAGAGUUUAAUUAUAAUGAUAACAUGCACCUAUUAACUCACUUGGUGAAGGCCACAGGACUGAAAAUGAACAAAUUCAACAACCAUGUCUCUGUCACUAACAAAUACAGUCAUUGGUGGUAACGCUACAAUUCACUCGAAAAGGCAAGGAACACUGGAAAAUAAUAUUGGAGGCAAGGUUUUUUUUCGGGGCGUUACUUAACAUUUUCAAGCUGAUACAACUCAAGUCUGGACACCCUACAGGAUCACAGUGUUUGAGUAAUGACUACAAAAUCACUAAGUAACUGUACUUGGAUAUAUUAAGUGCAAGAGGUUUCCUCAAAAGAUUUGAAGUAAUGACAGCACAUUGGGCUUUACAGUGUACAUAGGACCAUAGACAAUAUAAAAUAGCAUGUCAGUGGCACUUCUUUAACUGUAGUGCAAUAAUGUAUUUAGUUCAUACUCCUGUGUAGACUGUACUGAUUACUGUUUGUUUCUUUGAUUUUAGGCUAUGUUAAACUACACGUACGAUAGACAUGGCAUUAUAAGGAUUUUUUUGUCCUGUCAUCUUGUAAUCUCUUGUGAUUGUUUUGAUACCAUUUUCAAUGUACUAUAUGUAAAAAUCCAGCCUCAGGCACAUACAAUAAACCAAAAAUGUAAGAUUGCCAAAUUGUUUCAUACCAAAUAUAUGCUCAAAUCAAUUAGUCAUUAUUCUGUAUAGUGCUGUAAUUGUGCUGUAUUUAUAAAAGCCAUACUCUGCACCAUGAAACUUACAAGAAUCAAGUUAAAUAGCAAAAUUAACUGAUGUUACUUCACUUUACUAAUCAAGAUAUGUUGUAUUGUUCAGUGCAUUUAAGGAAUAGAGGAACAUUAAAAUAUGGUAAUAGUAUACCAUAUCAACUGAAAUAAGACAAAAC
rnacentral:lncRNA from 1 species